rnacentral:rRNA from 1 species
UAAGACAGAGGCCUCGAGCGUUAGGCGGAAUCACUGGGCUUAAAGCGUGUGUAGGCGGAUCGUUAAGUGUCUUGUGAAAUCCCACGGCUCAACCGUGGAACUGCUGGGCAUACUGGCGAUCUUGGGCCAUUCAGGGGCGACUGGAACAAGCGGUGGAGCGGUGAAAUGCGUAGAUAUCGCUUGGAACGCCGAAGGUGAAAACAGGUCGCUGGGGAUGUGCCGACGCUGAGACACGAAAGCCAGGGGAGCAAACGGGAUUAGAUACCCCGGUAGUCCUGGCCCUAAACGAUGUCCACUAGAUUAUGGCGCCUUUGACGGCGUCAUGGUCGAAGCAAAAGUGUUAAGUGGACCGCCUGGGAAGUACGGUCGCAAGGCUA